CCAAUCGUUGUCCGGAAUCAUUGGGCGUAAAGAGCGUGUAGGCGGCUUGUUAAUUCUUGCGUGAAAUCUCGGGGCUCAACCCCGAGCGGUCGUGAGAAACUGGCAGGCUAGAGUGCGGGAGAGGAGAGUGGAAUUCCUGGUGUAGCGGUGAAAUGCGCAGAUAUCAGGAAGAACACCCGUGGCGAAGGCGGCUCUCUGGAACGCAACUGACGCUGAGACGCGAAAGCGUGGGGAGCAAACAGG
rnacentral:rRNA from 1 species